CCUGUUUCUUUGGGUGUUGACAAUGAGGGAAGUGGUUACCAAAUUUCUGCAUCAGGAAGGGCAAUAUGAGAUUCAGCUGCUCGUUGUAGGCUAGGCUGGCAGGAGCAACACCUUCUUGGUUAUGGUGAGGUUGCUGAGCCAAUUGUAAAGGACAGGAGUGCCAACAAUACGCCAAAGCGUGCGAAGAGCCUACAAACU